rnacentral:lncRNA from 1 species
GUCAAUAUGGGUCAUCACAGAUGUAUAGGCUUAUUCAUAGAAACCAGAAUCAGCAACUCUUAAGUCAAACUACACACAAAUUACUUCCAUUUCUUGAACUUCCCACCACCAAACAUUCCAUGCUGCCCAUGCUUCCCAAACUUUCCAUGCUUCCCAUGCUUGAACUUGCCACCAUGGUGCUUAAACUUUCCGUGACCAUGGCUUCCUCCGUAGAAGCCAUGUCCCACAUUGUGACCGCCAUGGCCGCCAUGGCCUAGCUGGUGGGCACCAUAAGCAGCAGCAGCUGCAGCAGCACCCCCAGCUAGCAUUGUCCCCAUGCCUCCAUGUCCUGAAGAUCAUAAGUAAGGAUUCAACAACUUGCAGAAUAUCAACACAAGUAUAAUUGAAAGAACAGUUCCUUGCUCAAAAGAGGCACUUUCAAUGUCACAAAUCCAAUCACCUGAUGACCACUGGAGGGCUAAAGGUCUAGUGGAAACCAGCAUGACUCCAAAUCAUCAGAUUUUGGAGUUCAUUGAAUGUUCACAAUGUUCGGUAACUUAGAAAUUAAGAGGAAAAAAUACACUUCCUACCAGCUCAAAACAAUUUGCCUGUGGUUGACAGUGUACAUUACAUGCGUCAUGCCAAACAUGUACAUUGAAUAUCUCAAAUGUAGAAUAUCAGUCAAAAAAGUACUUGGACAGCAAGUAAAAUAUGUACAGCAUUUGCUUUCCCACAAAGCAUCACAAAAACAACUAGCAG